AUUUAUCUUCGGAUAAUAGUAAAGUGGCGAACGGGUGAGUAACGCGUAAAUAACUUGCCUUGGAGAUUGGGACAACAUUGGGAAACCAGUGCUAAUACCAAAUAAUGCAGCGGGCCCUUCGGGGCAUUGUUGUUAAAGUAGGCUUCGGCUUACACUUCAAGAUAGAUUUGCGUCCGAUUAGUUAGUUGGUAGGGUAAUAGCCUACCAAGACCGAGAUCGGUAGCUGGUCUGAGAGGAUGAUCAGCCACACUGGAAUUGAGAUACGGUCCAGACUCCUACGGGAGGCAGCAGUGAGGAAUUUUGCACAAUGGGCGAAAGCCUGAUGCAGCAACACCGCGUGAUUGAUGAAGUUUUUAGGAAUGUAAAAAUCUGUCGUAAGGGAAGAAAUGUUUCGGAUGUUAAUACCAUCUGUCACUGACGGUACCUUACAAGAAAGG
rnacentral:rRNA from 1 species